CCUACGGGAGGCAGCAGUAGGGAAUUUUCGGCAAUGGGGGCAACCCUGACCGAGCAACGCCGCGUGAACGACGAAGUACUUCGGUAUGUAAAGUUCUUUUAUCAGGGAAGAAUGGCUUACGGAAAAGUGAGCGUGACGGUACCUGAUGAAUAAGCCCCGGCUAACUAUGUGCCAGCAGCCGCGGUAAUACAUAGGGGGCAAGCGUUAUCCGGAAUUAUUGGGCGUAAAGGGUGCGUAGGUGGCCGUUUAAGUCUUUGGUGUAAGUGCAAGGCUCAACCUUGUGAUGCUAAAGAAACUGGAUGGCUUGAGUGUGGUAGAGGCAAGUGGAAUUCCAUGUGUAGCGGUAAAAUGCGUAAAUAUAUGGAGGAACACCGGUGGCGAAGGCGGCUUGCUGGGCCACAACUGACACUGAGGCACGAAAGCGUGGGGAGCAAACA
rnacentral:rRNA from 1 species